rnacentral:rRNA from 1 species
GACGAACGCUGGCGGCGUGCUUAACACAUGCAAGUCGAACGAAGAGCGAUGGAAGCUUGCUUCUAUCAAUCUUAGUGGCGAACGGGUGAGUAACGCGUAAUCAACCUGCCCUUCAGAGGGGGACAACAGUUGGAAACGACUGCUAAUACCGCAUACGAUCUAAUCUCGGCAUCGAGGAUAGAUGAAAGGUGGCCUCUACAUGUAAGCUAUCACUGAAGGAGGGGAUUGCGUCUGAUUAGCUAGUUGGAGGGGUAACGGCCCACCAAGGCGAUGAUCAGUAGCCGGUCUGAGAGGAUGAACGGCCACAGUGGGACUGAGACACGGCCCAGACUCCUACGGGAGGCAGCAGUGGGGAAUCUUCCGCAAUGGACGAAAGUCUGACGGAGCAACGCCGCGUGAGUGAUGACGGCCUUCGGGUUGUAAAGCUCUGUUAAUCGGGACGAAAGGCCUUCUUGCGAAUAGUGAGAAGGAUUGACGGUACCGGAAUAGAAGGCCACGGCUAACUACGUG